rnacentral:rRNA from 1 species
AUUGAACGCUGGCGGCAUGCCUUACACAUGCAAGUCGAACGGUAACGCGGGGCAACCUGGCGACGAGUGGCGAACGGGUGAGUAAUAUAUCGGAACGUGCCCAGUAGUGGGGGAUAGCCCGGCGAAAGCCGGAUUAAUACCGCAUGAGACCUGAGGGUGAAAGCGGGGGAUCGCAAGACCUCGUGCUAUUGGAGCGGCCGAUAUCAGAUUAGGUAGUUGGUGGGGUAAAGGCCUACCAAGCCGACGAUCUGUAGCUGGUCUGAGAGGACGACCAGCCACACUGGGACUGAGACACGGCCCAGACUCCUACGGGAGGCAGCAGUGGGGAAUUUUGGACAAUGGGCGCAAGCCUGAUCCAGCCAUGCCGCGUGCGGGAAGAAGGGCC